rnacentral:rRNA from 1 species
GACAGAGGAUGCAAGCGUUAUCCGGAAUGAUUGGGCGUAAAGCGUCUGUAGGUGGUCUAUCAAGUCUUCUGUCAAAGAUCAGGGCUUAACUCUGGGCAGGCAGGAGAAACUAGUAGACUAGAGUUCGGUAGGGGCAGAGGGAAUUCCCGGUGGAGCGGUGAAAUGCGUAGAGAUCGGGAGGAACACCAAAGGCGAAAGCACUCUGCUGGGCCGCGACUGACACUGAGAGACGAAAGCGAGGGGAGCAAAUGGG